rnacentral:rRNA from 1 species
UACGGAGGAUCCAAGCGUUAUCCGGAAUCAUUGGGUUUUAAAGGGUCCGUAGGCGGUUUUAAUAAGUCAGUGGUGAAAGCCCAUCGCUCAACGGUGGAACGGCCAUUGAUACUGUUAAACUUGAAUUAUUAGGAAGUAACUAGAAUAUGUAGUGUAGCGGUGAAAUGCUUAGAGAUUACAUGGAAUACCAAUUGCGAAGGCAGGUUACUACUAAUGGAUUGACGCUGAUGGACGAAAGCGUGGGUAGCGAACAGGA